UACUUUAGAGAUUCUCAGAUCAAUUGUACAUUGCUUUGCCUGCCUUAAAGAUGCUCAUAAACUAAUGAAGAGAGGCAUUUGAUCCAUGUGUUAUCAACACAAGGUCCCACCGAUCUUCCUGGAUUGGAAGUAGCUGCCACACUGCAGGCCACUAGGUGUUGGUUGCCAGUUGGAAAAGUCAUCAAAAAGCUUUCUUGAAAUGGUGAUUAGGUUUCAUCUGAAACGGACCAUUUCAGAGGCUGGGAGCCUAAACAAGGGGGCCCCCAAGCACGUGAGCAUUGUUUGGUGUUUCCCAGAUCACACAGGUGGUAUCAAUUUAAGCCUCAGACCUACACAAGGCAGGGCUGUGGGAGGAAGUCUCCGGAGAGGCCAUUUUUUUGCUUCCUCCCGGACUGGAAACCAGGACAGUAGUUCUCUCCUCACCUCCUUCGGAAGGUAGGUGGAAAGUUUUCUGUCCCGACCUUUCACUGCGUGAGUAGUACUUGAGGGGCCUUGAGUUUGUGCGACUUCUCAAUUCUCAUGCUCCUGCUUGCAGAGGCUCCGCUGUCUCUGUCUCCUCUG